AGUGAACGCUGGCGGCAUGCCUAACACAUGCAAGUCGAACGGCAGCACAGUAAGAGCUUGCUCUUACGGGUGGCGAGUGGUGGACGGGUGAGGAAUACAGCGGAACCUACGUUUUCGUGGGGGAUAACGUAGGGAAACGUACGCUACGACCGCAUAUGCCCUACGGGUGAACACAGGGGAUCUUCGCACCUUGCGAGACUCAAUUAGCAGAUGUCGGAUUAGCUAGUGGGCGGGGUAAAGGCCCACCAAGGCGACGACCCGUAGCUGCUCUGAGAGCGUGAACCGCCACACGGGAACUGAGGCACGGUCCAGACUCCUACAGUAGGAAGCAGUGGGGACUCUUACAGAAUGGGGGCAAGCCUGAUCCAGCCCUACCGCGUGAAUGAAGAAGGCCUGCCGGUUGUAAAGCCCUUUUGUAGGGAAAGAAAAACAGCAGGUUCAUACCCCGCUGUUCUGACGGUACCCGAAGAAUAAGCCCCGGCUAACUACGUG
rnacentral:rRNA from 1 species